CCUACGGGUGGCAGCAGUGGGGAAUAUUGCACAAUGGGGGAAACCCUGAUGCAGCGACGCCGCGUGAGUGAAGAAGUAUUUCGGUAUGUAAAGCUCUAUCAGCAGGGAAGAAAAAAGACGGUACUUGACUAAGAAGCCCCGGCUAACUACGUGCCAGCAGCCGCGGUAAUACGUAGGGGGCAAGCGGGAUCCGGAUUUACUGGGUGUAAGGGGAGCGUAGACGGGGCGGCAAGUCUGAAGUGAAAGGCAGGGGCUUAACCCCUGAACUGCUUUGGAAAUUGCCAUGCUAGAGUGCUGGAGAGGUAAGAGGAAAUCCUAGUGUAGCGGUGAAAUGCGUAGAUAUUAGGAGGAACACCAGUGGCGAAGGCGGCUUACUGUACAGUAACUGACGUUGAGGCUCGAAAGCGUGGGGAGCAAACAGGAUAAGAGACCCCAGUAGAG
rnacentral:rRNA from 1 species